GAUGAACGCUAGCGGGAGGCCUAACACAUGCAAGCCGAGCGGUAUUGUUUCUUCGGAAAUGAGAGAGCGGCGUACGGGUGCGUAACACGUGUGCAACCUGCCUUUAUCUGGGGGAUAGCCUUUCGAAAGGAAGAUUAAUACUACAUAAUAUAUUGAACGGCAUCGUUUAAUAUUGAAAGCUCCGGCGGAUAGAGAUGAGCACGCGCAAGAUUAGCUAGUUGGUGAGGUAACGGCUCACCAAGGCGAUGAUCUUUAGGGGGCCUGAGAGGGUGAUCCCCCACACUGGUACUGAGACACGGACCAGACUCCUACGGGAGGCAGCAGUGAGGAAUAUUGGUCAAUGGGUGCAAGCCUGAACCAGCCAUCCCGCGUGAAGGACGACUGCCCUAUGGGUUGUAAACUUCUUUUGUAUAGGGAUAAACCUACCCUCGAGAGGGUAGCUGAAGGUACUAUACGAAUAAGCACCGGCUAACUCCGUGCCAGCAGCCGCGGUAAAAC
rnacentral:rRNA from 1 species